rnacentral:rRNA from 1 species
ACUCCUACGGGAGGCAGCAGUGGGGAAUAUUGCACAAUGGGGGAAACCCUGAUGCAGCCAUGCCGCGUGUGUGAAGAAGGCCUUCGGGUUGUAAAGCACUUUCAGUAGGGAGGAAGGUAGUGGUAGUUAAACACCUGCACUUAUUUGACGUUACCUACAGAAGAAGCACCGGCUAACUCUGCCAGCAGCCGCGGUAAUACGGAGGGUGCGAGCGUUAAUCGGAAUUACUGGGCGUAAAGCGCAUGCAGGCGGCCUGUUAAGUCAGAUGUGAAAGCCCGGGGCUUAACCUCGGAAUUGCAUUUGAAACUGGCAAGGCUAGAGUCUUGUAGAGGGGGGU